rnacentral:rRNA from 1 species
GACGAACGCUGGCGGCGUGCCUAAUACAUGCAAGUCGAGCGGACCGGAUCGGAGCUUGCACUGAUUUGGUCAGCGGCGGACGGGUGAGUAACACGUGGGCAACCUGCCCGCAAGACCGGGAUAACUCCGGGAAACCGGAGCUAAUACCGGAUAACACCGAAGACCGCAUGGUCUUUGGUUGAAAGGCGGCCUUUGGCUGUCACUUGCGGAUGGGCCCGCGGCGCAUUAGCUAGUUGGUGAGGUAACGGCUCACCAAGGCGACGAUGCGUAGCCGGCC